UUCUCCUACGGGGGGCAGCAGUCGGGAAUAUUGCGCAAUGGAGGAAACUCUGACGCAGUGACGCCGCGUGCAGGAAGAAGGUUUUCGGAUUGUAAACUGCUUUAGACAGGGAAGAAACAAGACAGUACCUGUAGAAUAAGCUCCGGCUAACUACGUGCCAGCAGCCGCGGUAAUACGUAGGUGGCAAGCGUUGUCCGGAUUUAUUGGGCGUAAAGCGAGUGCAGGCGGUUCAA
rnacentral:rRNA from 1 species